UUUAAGAAAUUAAUUUAAAGUCUAACCUGCCCACUGAAAAAUUUUAAAUGGCCGCAGUAUUUUAACUGUGCAAAGGUAGCAUAAUCAUUAGUCUUUUAAUUGAAGGCUGGAAUGAAUGGUUGAAUGAAAUAUUAACUGUUUCAUAAAAAUUUAUAAUAGAAUUUUAUUUUUUAGUCAAAAAGCUAAAAUAUUAUUAAAAGACGAGAAGACCCUAUAAAUCUUUAUAUUUAAAUAAUUUUAAUUAUUAAGAUAAAUUAAAUUAUUAUUAUUUUAAAUAUUUUAUUGGGGUGAUAUUAAAAUUUAAUAAACUUUUAAUUUAUAAUAUACAUAAAUUAAUGAAUUAUUGAUCCAUUUAUUAUGAUUAAAAAAUUAAGUUACUUUAGGGAUAACAGCGUAAUUUUUUUAGAAAGUUCAUAUUGAUAAAAA
rnacentral:rRNA from 1 species